GCAAGUCGAACGGAACUGUUUUGAAAGAUUUCUUCGGAAUGAAUUUGAUUUAGUUUAGUGGCGGACGGGUGAGUAACGCGUGAGUAACCUGCCUUCAAGAGGGGGAUAACAUUCUGAAAAGAAUGCUAAUACCGCAUGACAUAUCGGAACCACAUGGUUCUGAUAUCAAAGAUUUUAUCGCUUGAAGAUGGACUCGCGUCCGAUUAGUUAGUUGGUGAGGUAACGGCUCACCAAGACCGCGAUCGGUAGCCGGACUGAGAGGCUGAACGGCCACAUUGGGACUGAGACACGGCCCAGACUCCUACGGGAGGCAGCAGUGGGGGAUAUUGCGCAAUGGGGGCAACCCUGACGCAGCAACGCCGCGUGAAGGAUGAAGGUUUUCGGAUUGUAAACUUCUUUUAUUAAGGACGAAAAAUGACGGUACUUAAUGAAUAAGCUCCGGCUAACUACGUGCCAGCAGCCGCGGUAAUACGUAGGGAGCAAGCGUUGUCCGGAUUUACUGGGUGUAAAGGGUGCGUAGGCGGCUUUGCAAGUCAGAUGUGAAAUCUAUGGGCUCAACCCAUAAACUGCAUUUGAAACUGUAGAGCUUGAGUGAAGUAGAGGCAGGCGGAAUUCCCCGUGUAGCGGUGAAAUGCGUAGAGAUGGGGAGGAACACCAGUGGCGAAGGCGGCCUGCUGGGCUUUAACUGACGCUGAGGCACGAAAGCGUGGGUAGCAAACAGGAUUAGAUACCCUGGUAGUCCACGCUGUAAACGAUGAUUACUAGGUGUGGGGGGUCUGACCCCUUCCGUGCCGGA
rnacentral:rRNA from 1 species